CGAGCGUGUGCAAGCCCUGCCCGGGAAGACGUCCGCGCCCCGCCGUCCCCGGAGCCCCGCCCGCCGCGCCGUGGUGCGGGCGAGAGGAGAACUAGCCGCUUCCUCUGCCUCUCUCCGGGCUCCUCUCGCUCUCUUUUCCAAGAAAUGCUGAGGAUUUUAGCCUAACGGGCGAAGAGUGACCGGUGGAAUCGUGACUAACGUUAGCGAAUAGAAGGAAAUAGGAGCUAAGGACCAGGAAUUUAAAUGGGCGCUUCUGGCAAUUUUAGCCACGCCGCUUGGGGACUAGAUAGGCUUUGAUCCUGAUCUAUAUGGACUUGGGGGUUUUUUGUAAGACUGAGUUUGAAUUGUCUAAAUUAGUAAAAUACUGAUUCCUUGAAAUUCACACUAAUAGAAUACCUGCUGCUUAGAUAAACUGCACGGCUCCUUAAGCUCUAUAUGUUUUCAGCUAGGAACAACACAGGCCCCUCAAUAAUAAAAUAUUUUUAAUCAUUAGAUUUUUAAACACGGUCCCACUCACAGAGCAAGAUACUCAAGGAAACAUUUUGUCCUUACUUCAGAAGACCAUCCUAAAGUUUGUUUACUGAACAAAAAUAAUUCUCUGUUAUAGAAGACAUUGGACUGUAAAUAACAUUUGUACAUCAAAAAGUCAUUAUGUAUUUGAAAAUUAUUAUCAUCCAAGGACUGACAAAAAGCAGUACCAAGGGUCUCGCUGUGCAGCUCAGGCUGGCCUCCAACUCAAGGUGAUCCUCCUGCCUCAGCCUCCCAAGUGCUGGGAUUGUAGGCCUGUGCCACCACCCCAGCCCUGAAGGACCUGAAACUUUGAAACUGGGCGACUGAGCAAAUAUCUGUGGCCAGAUCUAUCUCCUUUUCCUCUUGUCCAACGAAGCAGCCAUCGAGGAAUGCAUAAAUUGCCUCGUGAAAGAGUUCCGGACUCUGGGAGGAGGGCACCACGCUG
rnacentral:lncRNA from 1 species